UACAGAGGGAGCGAGCGUUAAUCGGAAUUACUGGGCGUAAAGCGUGCGUAGGCGGUCGUGUAAGUCGGGUGUGAAAGCCCCGGGCUCAAUCUAGGAAUUGCAUUCGAGACUGCACGGCUGGAGUGCGGAAGAGGGAAGCGGAAUUUUCGGUGUAGCGGUGAAAUGCGUAGAUAUCGGAAGGAACAUCAGUGGCGAAAGCGGCUUCCUGGUCCAGCACUGACGCUCAGGCACGAAAGCGUGGGGAGCAAACAGG
rnacentral:rRNA from 1 species